AUGACGGGUCAGAGGAGCUUUUCUCGCACGAUCUGAUAACCAUUGAUCGUGAGCAGGUUAGAAGUUCCACCCCCUCCCCCAGAGGUGAGUAAGGCUGAAAAAAGCAUUUUUAUUGGGGGGGACACAGCAGGAUCUCACUACUGAGGAUAUUUGUCCCUUGUUUCAACUUUCCUCAGAUGGCGGUGUGGGGUUGGCACAGGCGGCACCAGAGAAUGACCUAGAUGUCACAGUGGAUGGCCUCGCUGACUGUGAGGCGGAGGAACCGUGUCCUGAUGCUCAGGAGGAACCGCAGAGUGACGGCGACUCAAGCUCAUUGCAGCAAGGUGGCGGAAAGGAUUCCACAUCAACAUCCAUGGCUGAGGCUUCCCCAGGGUCACGCCUUGAACGUAUAAAGAGCAGAAGACGGAGAAAUGCGGGAUUGUUUGCAGUCGCUGAUAAGAUGAUCAGUCAGUCAGGGGAGGAGCAUAAGGCCCAAAUUGCUGAAUGGCGCAUUGACAGGGAGGAAAGCGUAAGGUGGCAUGAUGAGGAAAAAAAAAUCAAAAUGAUUUUAUUGAGGCAACACGUCAGGAGAGCAUAUACUUUAGGCGGGCGUGGGAUGAUAACCUUCAGGUCAUGCAGUCUGCUGUCCUGACACUGCAAACUCUUGGUGAAAUUCUGGUCAAUCAACAGAGGGCGAAAUCUCCAAAGGCAAAGGCCUUGCAGGAUACUGCCACAGAGAACAUUGCACCGCGUUUGGGUGUGGCCAAACGUGCCUGUGUUGGCCGUGCCAGAGCUAGACUGACUCUCUAGUGUUUCAUUGACAUGUCAGUACAGCACGCUAUCUUUGGCCUUCUUUCAUAUGUGUUGCAUGCUCCAAUCAUUUGGUGGGUGAUCGUUUUGGGUUUGUUGUGGGAAACAAAUUUAUCUUAUUACUGAAAAGUUAACCGGAAAUUAAAAUUGAAAAUGCAUCACAGCACCUUGUUUUGACCAACAAUGAACACAAUAAACUUUAUUGUUA